rnacentral:rRNA from 1 species
ACUCCUACGGGAGGCAGCAGUAGGGAAUCUUCCACAAUGGGCGAAAGCCUGAUGGAGCAACGCCGCGUGUGUGAUGAAGGGUUUCGGCUCGUAAAACACUGUUGUAAGAGAAGAAUGACAUUGAGAGUAACUGUUCAAUGUGUGACGGUAUCUUACCAGAAAGGAACGGCUAAAUACGUGCCAGCAGCCGCGGUAAUACGUAUGUUCCAAGCGUUAUCCGGAUUUAUUGGGCGUAAAGCGAGCGCAGACGGUUAUUUAAGUCUGAAGUGAAAGCCCUCAGCUCAACUGAGGAAUUGCUUUGGAAACUGGAUGACUUGAGUGCAGUAGAGGAAAGUGGAACUCCAUGUGUAGCGGUGAAAUGCGUAGAUAUAUGGAAGAACACCAGUGGCGAAGGCGGCUUUCUGGACUGUAACUGACGUUGAGGCUCGAAAGCAUGGGUAGCAAACAGGAUUAGAUACCCUGGUAGGAUAGCG